GACUUGCUGGUGUAAUGGUAGCACGCCUCAGAUGUGUCUUCAUUUGAGUGAAAUCCCGAGUUCGACUCCGGGGUAAGUCA